rnacentral:tRNA from 1 species
UCCCUGGUGGCUCAGAUGGUAAAGCGUCUGCCUACAAUGCAGGAGACCCAUGUUUGAUCCAUGGGUCGGGAA